rnacentral:rRNA from 1 species
GACGAACGCUGGCGGCGUGCCUAAUACAUGCAAGUCGAACGCAGUGGGGCCGGGUGAGUAACACGUGGGUAACCUCACAUCCGAGGGGAUAACACUUGGAAACAGGUGCUAAACCGAUACUGAUGGAUGGACCCGCGGUGCAUUAGCUAGUUGGUGAGGUAACGGCUGACCAAGGCCACGAUGCAUAGCCGCCCUUAGAGGGUUAUAGUCAAAACUGGGACGGAGACACGGCCCAGACUCCGCCGGGAGGCAGCAGUAGGGAAUCUUCGGCAAUGGACGAAAGUCGGACCGAGCAACGCCGCGUGAGUUAAGAAGGUUUUCGGAUCGUAAAUCUCUGUUGGUAGUGAAGCGGUAUCUAACCAGAAAGUCACGGCUAACUACGUGCCAGCAGCCUCGGUAAUAC